rnacentral:misc_RNA from 1 species
AUGGAAGUUGAUCUUGAGUUCUAUAGAGAACUAGGAUUUGCAUCCGCUAACUUCCAAAAGGUCUCUUUCUUUCCUCCAUCAAAUUUUGGCCUAGAUGUGCAAAGCAAAAUUAUCCCCACACCUUGCAGAGGUCCCAAUUGUGCUACAACCUCAAUUUAUUUUACUAGACUUGUGUGGGAUAUUCCAAUUUCAAAAUAAUAAUAAAAUGAUAAAAGAAUACUUAUAAAUUAAAAUUACAACAAAAUUUAGCAUGCCAUUAACAUCAAGACUAGAUAUUGAAUUUCUUGUGUACCAUUUGAAGGGUUUUA